AUGAAGAUAUUUUCGCAAUUUUACUGCAAUAACAUUUCAUCUCUAACGUUGCGUGUUCCACGGAACUCUUCGUGGAAGACGUUUUUAUGUUGACGCUUCAUUUCUGUUGGCCGUAAUUAGACCAGUUGGUCUAAUUUGAAUUCAUAACCAGCGUCAAAUUCAAAGAAAUGAUCGAAAUGCCAAAUUAUAAACAGGUGACAGAUAACGUAAAUCUUCAGCAGCGAGCCAGCUAGUACGAGGAUCAAUUUUCACUAACAUUAUAAGUAAUAUAAGUAUGUACAUAUAUAUAUAAGCCUGCACAAUUUAAUUUUUAUAUUUUUAAGUGUAUGUACGUAGUAUGUAGAGACAUGCGAAGA